CGGUCGCGUAACACGUAAGCAACCUGCCCGAAAGACCGGGACAACAGCUCGAAAGGGCUGCUAAUACCGGAUGUGUCCGUCCCUUCGCAUGGGGGGCGAGUAAAUCAUUUAUGGCUUUCGGAGGGGCUUGCGGCCUAUCAGCUAGAUGGCGAGGUAACGGCUCACCAUGGCGACGACGGGUAGCUGGUCUGAGAGGACGGUCAGCCGGACUGGGACUGAGAUACGGCCCAG
rnacentral:rRNA from 1 species